AACGCACCUUGCGCUCCUUGGUAUUCCGAGGAGCAUGCCUGUUUGAGUGUCAUGAAAUCUUCAACCUACAAGCCUUUGCGGUUUGUAGGCUUGGACUUGGAGGCUUGUCGGCCCUUUGUCGGUCGGCUCCUCUUAAAUGCAUUAGCUUGAUUCCUUGCGGAUCGGCUCUCGGUGUGAUAAUGUCUACGCCGCGACCGUGAAGCGUUUGGCGAGCUUCUAACCGUCUUCGCUUGAAGACAGCUUUAUGACCUCUGACCUCAAAUCAGGUAGGACUACCCGCUGAACUUAA
rnacentral:misc_RNA from 1 species